rnacentral:rRNA from 1 species
AUAACGGUCCUAAGGUAGCGAAAUUCCUUGUCGGGUAAGUUCCGACCCGCACGAAAGGCGUAAUGAUUUGGAUACUGUCUCGGAGAGGGGCUCGGUGAAAUAGACUUGUCUGUGAAGAUGCGGACUACCUGCACCUGGACAGAAAGACCCUAUGAAGCUUUACUGUAACUUGAAAUUGAAAUUGGACUUUAGUCGCGCAGCAUAGGUGGGAGGCGUUGAAAAUAUUCUUGCGGGAAUAUUGGAGCCAUCAGUGAGAUACCACUCUUCUAAUGUUAGAUUUCUAACUUUGCAUCAUUAUCUGGUCAGAGAACAGUUUCAGGCGGGCAGUUUGACUGGGGCGGUCGCCUCCUAAAUGGUAACGGAGGCGUACAAAGGUUUCCUCUGAACGUGUAGAAAUCGUAUCUAGAGUGUAAAGGCAUAAGGAAGCUUGACUGUGAGACUUACAAGUCGAGCAGGGACGAAAGUCGGUCUUAGUGAUCUGACGGUACUGAGUGGAAAGGCCGUCACUCAACGGAUAAAAGUUACUCUAGGGAUAACAGGCUGAUCUCCCCCAAGAGUUCACAUCGACGGGGAGGUUUGGCACCUCGAUGUCGGCUCAUCACAUCCUGGGGCUGAAGUCGGUCCCAAGGGUAUGGCUGUUCGCCAUUUAAAGUGGUACGCGAGCUGGGUUUAGAACGUCGUGAGACAGUUCGGUCUCUAUCUACUGUGGGCGUUAGAAAUUUGAGUGGAUCUGACUCUAGUACGAGAGGACCGAGUUGGACGAACCUCUGGUGUACCUGUUGUUCCGCCAGGAGCAUUGCAGGGUAGCUACGUUCGGAAGGGAUAAGCGCUGGA